AGAAGAACACCUCUGGAAUGAUAAGCCGCCCCUCUCCAGGGAGGAUGGAGUGGAUCAUCCCUCUGAUUGUGGUAUCAGCCUUGACCUUCGUGUGCCUCAUUCUUCUCAUUGCUGUGCUAGUGUACUGGAGAGGGUGUAACAAAAUAAAGUCCAAGGGCUUUCCCAGACGUUUCCGUGAAGUGCCUUCUUCUGGGGAGAGAGGAGAGAAAGGGAGCAGGUGGUCCCAAACAUGUACCUAACUAGAUCUUUAAACUAUCACUCUUAUAAUGCAGUCAGCCAGUACGUCAACAAAAUAAAAAAGUUGCCAAAGGUUUGUACCAAUUCAUUUUAGAUAAUAAAUACUGAAUAACAAGGAAUAAAAUAAGAA